AUUGAACGCUGGCGGCAUGCCUUACACAUGCAAGUCGAACGGUAACAGGUUAAGCUGACGAGUGGCGAACGGGUGAGUAAUAUAUCGGAACGUGCCCAGUCGUGGGGGAUAACGUAGCGAAAGCUACGCUAAUACCGCAUACGAUCUACGGAUGAAAGCGGGGGAUCGCAAGACCUCGCGCGAUUGGAGCGGCCGAUAUCAGAUGAGGUUGUUGGGGAGGUAAAAGCUCACCAAGCCUGCGAUCUGUAGCUGGUCUGAGAGGACGACCAGCCACACUGGAACUGAGACACGGUCCAGACUCCUACGGGAGGCAGCAGUGGGGAAUUUUGGACAAUGGACGCAAGUCUGAUCCAGCAAUGCCGCGUGCAGGACGAAGGCCCUCGGGUUGUAAACUGCUUUUGUACGGAACGAAACGGUGAGCUCUAAUACAGUUUGCUAAUGACGGUACCGUAAGAAUAAGCACCGGCUAACUACGUGCCAGCCGCCGCCGUAA
rnacentral:rRNA from 1 species